UAGCUCGGGUUUCUCUUCAUUCACGUAUAAAUCUUUCGCCUUUUACUAAAGAUUUCCGUGG
rnacentral:snRNA from 1 species